GAAUGUAUUGUAUGACUACGCUUUAACCUGUUAUUGGGUUACCUACAUUCUUUAAUUACAAUGCAUUCAUCUGAUCUGAAUAACUGAUUAUGAGCUGGUUACUAUGCUGUUUACUUUUCCAGAAGUUUACUCGAUGAUUGAUCUAUGAAGUGCAGUAAGUACGAUAUGCCAUUCUGCAGUUGUUCAUUAUUGUUUUAUGCAAUGUUGUUUUAAGUCUCAAGCAUUUUUCGGGAGUUAUGUCGGUUAUGCUUGAAGCACGUCAUACAUAUAUAUCUCAUGCAUUGGAAGUUUGUCGUCGUCUUCUGGCCGCGACCGUACCGGUACAGUACCGUAUGUCACCCGAGGAGGGGUACGGUGCACACCCUUACGUUACCCGAGGAGGGGUAUGUUUAGAUGUUGACGUGCAUUUUGGGGAUGGAUCUUGGUAGCUGCACACACUACCUCAUCACCAUGUUGAUAGCUCAACCGGUGUUAUAAAUGGUGUUUUUGGUGGUCUGUCGUUUGCUUGGUUCAUGUUGUGGUGAGACGCUGGUAGCGUCGUGAAGGUUAUAUAUAUGCUGGUUAUAUC